CCUACGGGUGGCAGCAGUGAGGAAUAUUGGUCAAUGGGCGAGAGCCUGAACCAGCCACGUCGCGUGAGGGAAGACGGCCCUACGGGUUGUAAACCCUUUUUGCCGGGGAGCAACGGGCGCCACGUGUGGCGCCACUGAUAGUCCCCACAGAAACAGCAUCCGCUAACUCCGUGCCAGCAGCCGCGGUAAUACGUAGGAGGCGAGCGUUAUCAGGAUUUAUUGGGUUAAAGGGGUGCGUAGGCGGAGCGUAAAUUCAGUGGUAAAAUUGAGGGGCUCAUCCCCUUCCCGCCAUUGAAACUGGCGAUCUGGAGUGUAAGAGAGGUAUGCGGAAUGCGUGGUGUAGCGGUGAAAUGCAUAGAUAUCACGCAGAACCCCGAUGGCGAAGGCAGCAUGCCGGCUUCCGACUGACGCUGAAGCACGAAAGCGUGGGGAUCGAACAGGAUUAGAUACCCUUGUAGUC
rnacentral:rRNA from 1 species